GCUGCUCUUCCUCUCCUGGGCCGACCUCUGAGCAGCAGACGGGGCUAAGCGUUCCCCAGCUCGCCUUCACACACAGCCCGUGCCACCACGCCGACGGUACCAUGAAGGACGAGGUAGCUCUACUGGCUGCUGUCACCCUCCUGGGAGUCCUGCUGCAAGCCUACUUCUCCCUGCAGGUGAUCUCGGCGCGCAGGGCCUUCCGCGUGUCGCCGCCGCUCACCACCGGCCCACCCGAGUUCGAGCGCGUCUACCGAGCCCAGUGAGGCGCGGCGGGAGGGCGCGGGGCGGGGAGCGAGCCCCAGGCGGGUCCGGGUCGCAGGACCAUCCCGGCCGGCGCGCUCAUCCCACCCGCCCACCGCAGGGUGAACUGCAGCGAGUACUUCCCGCUGUUCCUCGCCACGCUCUGGGUCGCCGGCAUCUUCUUUCAUGAAGGGGCGGCGGCCCUGUGCGGCCUGGUCUACCUGUUCGCGCGCCUCCGCUACUUCCAGGGCUACGCGCGCUCCGCGCAGCUCAGGCUGGCACCCCUGUACGCGAGCGCGCGCGCCCUCUGGCUGCUGGUGGCGCUGGCUGCGCUCGGCCUGCUCGCCCACUUCCUCCCGGCCGCGCCGCGCGCCGCGCUCCUCGGACGGCUCCGGACGCUGCUGCCGUGGGCCUGAGACCAAGGCCCCCGGGCCGACGGAGCCGGGAAAGAAGAGCCGGAGCCUCCAGCUGCCCCGGGGAGGGGCGCUCGCUUCCGCAUCCUAGUCUCUAUCAUUAAAGUUCUAGUGACCGAGGCCCGGGCUGCGUUCUCUGGGUCCGCGGGGGUGGCGCACCGCGGGCUACGGAGCCUGGAGGGGCCCAGCCCAAGUCCGGGCAGCCCGGCGGGCUUCCUAGUGGCGGCGUGAGAGUGGCUGCGAAGGAACGGGUC
rnacentral:sRNA from 1 species